CCUACGGGCGGCAGCAGUGGGGAAUAUUGGACAAUGGGGGCAACCCUGAUCCAGCCAUGCCGCGUGUGUGAAGAAGGCCCUCGGGUUGUAAAGCACUUUCAGUGAGGAAGAACGCCUGGUGGUUAAUACCCAUCAGGAAAGACAUCACUCACAGAAGAAGCACCGGCUAACUCCGUGCCAGCAGCCGCGGUAAUACGGAGGGUGCGAGCGUUAAUCGGAAUUACUGGGCGUAAAGCGCGCGUAGGUGGCUUGAUAAGCCGGUUGUGAAAGCCCCGGGCUCAACCUGGGAACGGCAUCCGGAACUGUCAAGCUAGAGUGCAGGAGAGGAAGGUAGAAUUCCCGGUGUAGCGGUGAAAUGCGUAGAGAUCGGGAGGAAUACCAGUGGCGAAGGCGGCCUUCUGGACUGACACUGACACUGAGGUGCGAAAGCGUGGGUAGCAAACAGGAUUAGAUACCUCAGUAGUC
rnacentral:rRNA from 1 species